AACGAACGCUGGCGGCAGGCUUAACACAUGCAAGUCGAGCGCCCCGCAAGGGGAGCGGCAGACGGGUGAGUAACGCGUGGGAACGUACCCUUUGCUACGGAAUAGCUCCGGGAAACUGGAAUUAAUACCGUAUGUGCCCUACGGGGGAAAGAUUUAUCGGCAAAGGAUCGGCCCGCGUUGGAUUAGCUAGUUGGUGGGGUAAGGGCCUACCAAGGCGACGAUCCAUAGCUGGUCUGAGAGGAUGAUCAGCCACAUUGGGACUGAGACACGGCCCAAACUCUUACGGGAGGCAGCAGUGGGGAAUAUUGGACAAUGGGCGCAAGCCUGAUCCAGCCAUGCCGCGUGAGUGAUGAAGGCCUUAGGGUUGUAAAGCUCUUUCACCGGAGAAGAUAAUGACGGUAUCCGGAGAAGAAGCCCCGGCUAACUUCGUGCCAGCCGCCGCAGUAAAAC
rnacentral:rRNA from 1 species